CGAAGGAUCCAAGCGUUAUCCGGAUUUAUGGGUUUAAAGGGUGCGUAGGCGGACUAUUAAGUCAGUGGUGAAAGCCUGCAGCUUAACUGCAGAACUGCCAUUGAUACUGAUGGUCUUGAGUACAUUUGAGGUGGGCGGAAUGUGUCAUGUAGUGGUGAAAUACUUAGAUAUGACACAGAACUCCGAUUGCGAAGGCAGCUCACUAAACUGUAACUGACGCUGAGGCACGAAAGCGUGGGGAUCAAACAGGAUUAGAUACCCUGGUAGUCCACGCCCUAAACGAUGAUUACUCGAUGUGUGCGAUACACUGUACGCGUCUGAGCGAAAGCAUUAAGUAAUCCACCUGGGGAGUACGGCCGCAAGGCUG
rnacentral:rRNA from 1 species